GGUUACUUUGCCCAGCACAAAGGACGACGCGAAUACCAACAGACUGGACGAGUCGGUGACUACAGUUUGCAUUAAGAGGCGGCGCCUUUUGGGUUUCGGAGGGUUCCACUGGAACCCACGAGGGUCAGGAACACCGACGCGCGGAUUCCGCCCACCAGACAGCCUGGGGAAGCGAGCCUGAAGGCGCGGCGCAGCUAGAGAGAAGAACCUCGGCAGACAUGCCGCCCAGA
rnacentral:lncRNA from 1 species